UGGGGAAUUUUGGACAAUGGGGGAAACCCUGAUCCAGCCAUCCCGCGUGUGCGAUGAAGGCCUUCGGGUUGUAAAGCACUUUUGGCAGGAAAGAAACGUCAUGGGUUAAUACCCCGUGAAACUGACGGUACCUGCUGAAUAAGCACCGGCUAACUACGUGCCAGCAGCCGCGGUAAUACGUAGGGUGCAAGCGUUAAUCGGAAUUACUGGGCGUAAAGCGUGCGCAGGCGGUUCGGAAAGAAAGAUGUGAAAUCCCAGAGCUCAACUUUGGAACUGCAUUUUUAACUACCGGGCUAGAGUGUGUCAGAGGGAGGUGGAAUUCCGCGUGUAGCAGUGAAAUGCGUAGAUAUGCGGAGGAACACCGAUGGCGAAGGCAGCCUCCUGGGAUAACACUGACGCUCAUGCACGAAAGCGUGGGGAGCAAACAGG
rnacentral:rRNA from 1 species